ACCACAUACACCACCACCACCACAUACACCACCACAAGCAACAGUGGCAUACACAACACUGUCACUACAUACACCACCACAAUCAGUGGCAUCAGAAAUGUCAGUGUCACAAACAAUAGCAACAACACAAAUGAGAAUACAAAAUCCUAAUCUGAUUACACAUGUAAACAAUAAUACUGAAAAGUCACCACAGAAAAAUGUGAAGGUAAUAUCACUAAAUGGUUACAGCAAAACAGAACUAAUGGAUGGAAAUCUUAGUAGUAGUUCUGAUGUAUUUCAGAUACCUUCUCAUGGCACACGAAGCAGUCCUUUUCCACCAACACACAAUUUGUCUGACUUGGGAAUACCCGAUCAAAGGGAAUUGCAUAUUAUGCCAGAGUCAAAUAUAUCAAAUGUCAAGGGUCAUGAAAAUGAUACACAAACUUCAUCUUCACAAAAAGAGUUAAUUAAUAAACUCUCGACCAGUUCUUUCAUCAGAAAUAAAUGUGCAAUAAGGAUCAAUUGCACAAAUGCCUCAAAAAUUAAAAGGCCAUCAAGUUUGUUACAAAUAGAUUCUGACACGAGACAAAAGAUUUGCUUUAAUAUUAAAGAAAAAGUGGCCAGGGCAUCUAAAUUAUACUUGGAAAAUGCUGAAGAUGAACACAGAGAAAACAACAGUACUGAAGAGACUUCAAAAUUGUCAAAGUUGGCAGAAUUAAAAAAAGAAUUGGAAAUAGAAAAAGUGUGCAACGCUGAAUACAAAAAGAACUUAACUAGUGGAAUAUGGAGGCGUCCUAGAGGAUUUUUGAAACGCAAAAGAAAGUACAAGAAGGGAAAGGACAAAAAAUGUAUGCCUCGGACAAGAGUCAUUAGUUGUGAAUAUGAUAGUGGCUCAUCAUCUUGUUCAUCUGAAGAAACUACAAAUGUUCCGCACACAACUCACAAAGACGUGUGCAAAAAUAAAGAAAAUAGAGAUAUUUCUCAAGAAUUUGAUGAUAAAGAAAAUGUAUCAUCUCGAUAUGAAGUUAAGAAGAGCUCCUGUGAAGAGCAGAACAAGAACUCUGCAGAAGGGCAGGACAGGUGCACUGGCGUAGGGCAGAACAAAGUUGUGGAAAAAGACAAGCAUACAACCACAGGUGAAAAGGAAGUCAUUGUUCUUUCUGAUUUAGAUAAUGACGAAAACUAUCUUGAUAUUUAUGCCAGCAAUAAGAAAGAUAUUGAGACAAGAAAUAAACAUGCUAAUAAUCAACAAAUCAAAUCAAGCAUUACAGUGAGAGAGGUUAAAGGAAGAAAGGCAUCUCUGAAAGCACUCCUCCUGGGAGAUGGAGGAGAGAAAGACCAACAGAUGACAACAGAUAACCAACAGAAUUCACAAGACAGUGAAUUGAUAAAGCAGAACUUUGGACAACAGGAGAGUGUUGUAAAGCAGAGUAACAGCCAUGAUGUAGAAGAGGUGCAAAUUUUAAAUAGCAGCACCAAAGACCAUGCUAAACAUAAAUCCAGUAAGGUUUCAUUAACUGUGUCUAAUGGAGAAGCUCAGGGUAAGACUGGCGAGAAAAUUUAUAAUGAUUAUUAUAAUACUUGUAUAGACUUGUGGUCAGAUAUACAAGAGAAUAAAUCCAAAGCCAUAGUAAGUGCCCCAUCCAAGACAAAAGACAACCCCUCCAAGAGUCAGCCUGAAAGUAAUAUAUAUUCUAGCUCUUGUUCCCAUAAGAAAUGCUCUCAUUCUCAUAAAACGUGUUCUUGUCCUCAUAAAAAAGUUUCUAGUCCCCUUCAGGCACAUUCUCACUCUCAUUCCCAUAGUGGAUGUUCUUGCUCUGGUUCCCAUAGAGCACAUUCUUACUCUCUUUCCCACAGUGUGCAGUCUUGUUCCCCUAGGGCACACUCCCCCUCCCCUGGGGCACGCUCUCCUUCCCCUAGGGCAUGUUCUUUCACUCAUGCCUAUAGGUUGCAUUCUUGCUCUCCUUCCCAGAGUGCAUGUUUUUGCUUCCUUUCUGAAAGAGAAUCUCGUUCUCCUGCUAGAAAUGCAAAUCCUAACUCCAUUUCAGUCAGCAAGUCUAGAAUGCUGUCAAAGAAAGUCUUCAGACCUAGAUCUUCGAAGAGAUUUAGUUCAUUGUCAAACACCUCAGAUUUAGAUUGUCACGGAACGAGACUUUCCAAGUCAAGAUGUAUGGAAAAAGGAAGUGAAACGCACAGCAACGUAUAUAGGUGCAAGACUAAGGACAGAAGAUUAAAUUCAGAAUACAGUGAUGAAGGCUCAUUAACAUCAAAUAUAAUUAACAGACCAUUUGAAGAGGUACAAAAUAUAAAAGAACACUGUGCCAGCCUCUCUCUUACACUAGACCCUGUUCAAAAAUCUGUAUUAGUUAAAGAAAUUAGUUCAAUUCAAGAAUUUUUUAAAAGUAGACAGUCCAAAGAUAUUGAGAAAAUGAUUAUAGAUUAUUUUAACAUUGAAAUAAAAGAACAAGUGUCAACCAACACAGUAAGACCAGGUAUGAUUGAAGAAGCUGAUCCACUACUUACGAACUCUGAAAAGACGUUGGUUUCUGUGGAGAAGCGACCAAGCUUGCCGUCAAGUGUAACAAUAGCGCAGGAAGGGGAAACACAGGCAACACAGGAACAUGUGCACUGUCAAAAUAAUUUAGGUAAAAAUGAUGAAGAAAUAAAUUAUAUUGAAGAAAAUGACCAAGAUAUACCAAUAAAAAAUGAAUAUUCUAAUAAGAUGAUAAUUCAUAUUAUUAGUAGCUCAGAUGAUGAGGCAAAAAAUAAGAAAAGAAAGAGAGAAACAGGAAGGUACAAGAGUGUACAAGAUGUGAACUUCGGGGAACCAGCAAAUAGUUUCAGAGAUGAUGCAGUGGCAUCAAAAAGAACAAGAAGCAAGUUUGAAGCACAGAGGAUGGACAGCAAUCAACAAACAAUUAAUGAAUUGAUGAAAGAAGAUACACCAAAGAAAAGAUACAAAAGUCACCACAGAAAGAAAAGAAAUGAAACAAAUAUGAGUUCUUCAAAGGAUAAAUCAUUGGACUCGAAAAAUAUGUGGAUAUGCGGUUUUACAGAUGAAGUGACAAGAAAUAUCAGUAGAGGAAGAAACUAUUCAACAGAAACAGAAAGGGUAAACAGUGGUCAACAGACAACAUGUGUGUCAGAGGAAGAGGACAUACCACAAUCAACACACCCAAGAAUUAAAUGCAAGAGAAAGCAUAAACACCACAGAAAACAUUGUAGCUUAAGAGCUAAGGCUGAAGAUGCUAAUGAAAACUGUAUUGAUAAUUCUACAAUUGAAGGCAGAAAAGCAAACAAAAGGAGUCACAAAUUGGCAAAGAGAGAGAGGAAGAGCAGCAGAAAACGACUGAGAAACAUGCCAGAAGAAGGAGACAUAACACAGUCAAGACCUCAAAGUAUUAAACACAAAAGAAAACAUAAAACUAGCAAAAGCCACAGGAGUUCUAGAGAUGAAUCGGAAAACCCAGAUGAAAUCUGGGCAGAAAGUCUAUUGGGAGAUAGAAAAAUUUUUCUAUUUCGAGAUAGAAAAAAAGAAAGUGGAAAAAGGAGAAUGAAAAAUAGAAGCAGUAAGCAAACAGAAAGAGAGUGGGUAAACAGUAGUCAACAAACAACAAAUACAUCAGAGGAAGAAAACAUACCAAAGUCAAGACACAAGAGAAAACAUAAAAGGCACAGAAGACACAGGAGUUCUUCUACAGAUGAAGCAGACAACUCUGUUGUAACCUGGAUAGAAAAAUUUACAGUUGAAGAUGCAGGGCAGGCAAAUAAAGAGAGAGGCAAGCCAAGAGCAUCAGAGAACAGGCAUCUGGUAACAAAUAUAACAGAGGAGGAGGUUGUACCAAGGAAGAGACACAGUAGCACUAAGCACAAACAUAAACACAAGAGGAAAAAAAAACUGGGAGGUUCUUCAGGGAAUAAACUAACAGGCUCUGGUGAAAUAAUAAACCAGUGGAAAAAAUCAAGUAGUAGGUUUGGAAAUAAAGUCAUUGAGAACUACCAAGGUUGUUUAAGAGAUGACACUUACAGAGCUCCCAUGACAAACUCCUCACCGCCAGAUACACUAGACGUAUACACUUGUGCUCUACCACCCUCUAAAUACCAAGAAUAUGAAAGUAAACAAACCGAACACAAUCACAGACCCAAAACUGUUUCCUCAGAUUUAUUUGUUCUCGAGGGACAAACUAGUGACUCGGCCUGCAUCAGCACUUGUGUCAAAGUUAUUUGUGAAGAGCUUAAUAGCUAUCCAUCUUCAGUACAGAUUGUGGAGAAUGGUUGCUAUGAUAACUUUUAUGCUGGUUCACCUCAUAAAACAGCUCUGAAUACCUCAAAAUAUUUACCUACUUGGGAAACACAAACUAAAGUAUUGCAAUCAAGAGCAGGUAAACAUAUUCCUGCUAAUCGACAAGGAAAUAAUAAAGAAAAUACCACUUGUAAAUCAAAUAUCGGUGAAGUGGUUUUUGAUAGUGUACGUAACCCCAGAAAUACAUCUGUGCAUGAACCAGACAUUAGUAAUGAAUCUGAAAAUGUUUCAUUAGGCAAGUAUAAUCAUAUAAGUAGUGGUAUCAAUAUGUCAAAAAGGAGAGAAAAAUCCUUUGCUCAAUUAUAUAGCAAUAUCAUUAAGAAUAUGCCCCCUGGGGGGGAUUACCAUGUGUGCACUAUUGGCUAUCCCGGCAUUCCGUGGAUUUCUGCAGGGAAAUCCUGUGAAAAAUGUUUGUUAGGGCAAGAAAAACCACGUGCUCAAUGGAAUGACUUAGACUCUUGCACAGAUUCGGAAAGCUAUCAUGAUGUUAAUUUUAAUCAUUUAACCACAUUUCACCAGUCCAGGAUGCAAGGUGAGGAUAAAUCAUAUAAGAAGAAAUUUCUCGAUAAUCAUAAGACUAAUGAUACUGAUAAAUCAAAACUUAUAAAUAAUAGUGAUAAUAGCCUUAAGUAUAAUAAUCACACGCAUAAAGUAAGCAGCAGAGAAAGUUUUGACAUGAAUGGAAAUGUAAGGCUGCAGAUAAAUUCUGAGAACAGUAUAGGGGAUCAACAGAUAAACAAGAAUACCUGUAAUACGUUUGACACAGGGGCGGGUAAGAUCCUGAAUGAUAUUAUGACAUCACCAAUUGACUCUGAAGACUCGCUGUCAAGCAUAUCUGACUAUAACAGUUUUUGUAAUGAGAAAAACCAUGAAUUGAAAACAAAGAAAUGCAGUAAAAUGCAGGAAAGACUUAGUGUGAAUAAUCCUGCAAGUUUUGCUUACUCGCCAGAUAAAACAAGCCACUCAGUUCAUGAAGGUUUGUCCGUUCUUAAUAACAAGGUCAGAGCUCAUAGUGAUAAUAGCCGUGAGUAUAAUAAUCCCAUGCAUAAAGUAAGCAGCAGAGAGAGUUUUGACACGAAUGGAAAUGUAAGGCUACAGAUUAAUUCUGAGAAUGCUGUAGGGGAUCAUCAGAUAAACAAAAAUAUAUGUUAUACGUUUGACACAGGGGCAGGUAAGAUCCUGAAUGAUAUUAUGACAUCACCAAUUGACUCUGAAGACUCACUUUCAAGCAUAUCUGACUAUAACAGUUUUUGUAAGGAGAAAAACCAUGAAUUGAAAGCAACGAAAUGCAGUAAAAUGCAGGAAAGACUUAGUGUGAAUAAUCCUAGUGAUAAUAGCCUUGAGUAUAAUAAUCCCAUGCAUAAAGUAAGCAGCAGAGAGAGUUUUGACACGAAUGGAAAUGUAAGGCUACAGAUUAAUUCUGAGAAUGCUGUAGGGGAUCAUCAGAUAAACAAAAAUAUAUGUUAUACGUUUGACACAGGGGCGGGUAAGAUCCUGAAUGAUAUUAUGACAUCACCAAUUGACUCUGAAGACUCGCUGUCAAGCAUAUCUGACUAUAACAGUUUUUGUAAUGAGAAAAACCAUGAAUUGAAAACAAAGAAAUGCAGUAAAAUGCAGGAAAGACUUAGUGUGAAUAAUCCUGCAAGUUUUGCUUACUCGCCAGAUAAAACAAGCCACUCAGUUCAUGAAGGUUUGUCCGUUUUUAAUAACAAAGAAACAGAUAAUUUACCUGCAUCAGCUUACAUUAGUAGGGAAUUAUCACAGACAUUUGAAAAUUCAAAAAGAUUGAAUGAUGAUAAUUCCCAAGAAGCUUCUUUUAGUUUGGGAAAAUUGGCUAAUAAAGCUGCUGCUGAAGUCGAUAAUAGUGUCUAUGAUUCGGCCGGGUCGUCAUCACUAUUCGACUUGAAAGAUGAUACAGACUGUUCAAAUUCAAACACCUCAUCUUUGCAACAUGAUAGCAGAUUUCUAGGAAAGCAAAAAACCUCUAUUAGCUAUUUGCCACCAGAAACUCAAACAGUUCCUUCUGAAGAUGAUUGUCACAACCGAGAAAAUAAGGCAGUUAGUAUUUUUACAUCAAGGAGUAAAACCUCACCAUGUAGGAAAGAGAGACUUGAGGAAGAGAAAGGAGAUUCUCUGUGUUUUCUUCAAGAAAGAGACCAAGUAUGUAUGUCUGCUUUAGGUAAUAAUAAUAGUACUAAUAAUAUAGUUACAAGUGCCAUUAGUAGCAACUGUAGUGAGCUCAAAUCUACCAACAAUAUGGGUUGUACGACAGUUGUAACUACCACCAAUAAUAGUAGUAAUAAAGACAAUAUUAUCACUACUAGUGCUAGUAAUACAGUUAUAGCUUCCACCAACAAUAUUAGCAAUAAACGCAUCACUCCCACCAACAGUGCUAGAAUAGUUACUUCUGGUACCAAAAAGGCAGAACAUUUGAUACAAGAUAUUGACAUAGCCAAAAAAUCAGCAGCUGAGAAAACUGUUGACCAAAGUAUAUGUGAAUCACCAGCUACAGCCUUUCUUAAACCACUGUCAACAGAGUCAGGAUUAAACAUUUCAAUUUCUGAAUUGGCACCAAAUCUUCACCAGUUGCAUCAGAGUGACACUUCUCAAAAUUCAUCUUCAGAGUCUGAAAACAUCCCUCUUGCACAACGGGCUAGAAAAAGACUGCAUAAUUCCAAUACAUCUUGUCAUUUGCAUCAAGUAUCCAAUGCUUGCACAAGCCCAUGCAAGCCAAUAACAGAGGUGUUACCUGAAGCUCUUCAGCCAACAAAGCUUUAUAUAAAUUGUAUAGCAAAUAUAUGUCCUGCUUGCAGCCAUGAUCUCAUUCCCGAUUGGUUUACCUCGGUAAACCUUUCCACAGGAUCAAUAACCAUGAAAUGCCAACACUGCCUUCAGUAUAUAGUUAUGAAACAAGUAUUGGAACCUGAAUUCCAAAAUAAGGCAGAAAAUAUGGUAAGUAAAGGUUACUCAAAAAGGCAUAAAGGUAAGAAAGCUGGAAAAUUACAGAGUGCUUGCAAAGACAUUAGGAAUUCAGAAAUGAACAAAACUGAAUCAUCUAAGAAGAAAGGAAACAGAGGUGCCAAGAAUAUAAUGAUAAACAAACACACUGUUCUGGCUUCUCAACGUCCGUCAAAAGGGUUCAAAUGUGUGCAAAAGUCGAGAAGACACGAAGAGAUCAGUUGUAAAGCACCAGAAGACUUCAAUAAAACCCUGGCAAUGACAAAUAUUACAGAAAACACAUCGCAAGGAAAUGCAAAAAAUAAUUUUACACAAGUAAAUAUUUAUCAAAAAAAAUUAUGCACAAACAAACCAAAACAUACCAGUCUGAAGUUUAAGAGAAGACAAAUACCAGGACGUACAGCCUCUAAAAAUGUCAACAGUGAUGACGAGAUACCUUUAGCUUUACGGCAGACUCGCUUCUUUACGAAGAAGCCUUUAGUUAUACUCACUCCAGUGGAGGACAGUAGGACUUCCCUUCCCAAAACAUCAGUAAAGAAAAGAAGCAGUGUUGUUUCCAAAAAAAAAUGCUGUGCUGUAAUGUCCUCUCUCGACCAGUCUUCAGUAGAAUAUGAAAGAAGCAAGACAAGUGGUGGAAGCCGUGCAGUGGAAUAAGAGGAUGUGAGGUGUACGUUAUUACUACAAACCAGCACAUCUAGUGACAGGAUUGGACUAUAUACCCUGCAUGCAAGCCUACAACUUGAAGCUAAAUAUAUAAAGAAGUUUAAAAUACUGCACUUCCAACAAAUUUAUCAUACUAUGCUCAUGCUAUUUUGACCUUGAAGAGUUUGGAUGAUACUUUUUCAAAGAUAUUAUCAAUCAUAUACAAUAGUAUGUCUAAUUUCAAAGAUAAAGUGGUCUCUCUUGUCUUGGGGCUAGUAUUGUAUUACAGCUCUCAUACUUUAAGAACUACAGUAUUAAUAAUGUACACAAUAUAAAAGUGGUUAAAAAAAAUGAAUUACUUUAAAGGUAUGAUAAAAAUUAUGAUUUCGGUGGGAAAACAAAUAGGACAAAUGUAUUUCAGUGCUGUAUAAUGAAACAAUUUGUUUUAAGAAAUUAUGGUUACUUAGAGAUUUUUAGGUCAAGUAUUUUAAAAACAGAACUGUCAGUUUAAAGAAAAAAAUCACUGCCACACAAAUAUUUUACUCAAGAUACAAAAUAAAUUAUUUUCUACUUCAUUAAUUAUAACUUUGGUAAAAUUGAAAAAUACAUAUCAAAUAAGAUUACUGUAUUGAAUUUUUUUUAACAUGGUUUAAAUAUUUAUGUAAAGUCAUGAUUGCCAUUAAAUAAUUAGAUAUUUAUUCUUUCAAAACAAUGUUUUUAUAUUGCAAUACAAUACUGGUACUGACUUUAUUAUUCACAUCGUGAAGAAAAACUACCAUUGUUGAUAUUAUAAUUAUUAGGUUAUUUAUGUCAAGGCACAAUUACUAUUUAAAUAGUUUAACUCAGUGCUUGCUUAAUUGUUAUAAAACAGGUGAAUAUGGGAUUAACAUGCAUUGUUGAUCAACCAGUUUCGUUUAUAAUUUAUUAGAAACUUGUUUUUAAAGAGUGUUUAAUUUUACAUCUGUUUUUUAUGCGGAAAAUACAAUCUUGUUUUUACACGAAGCAUGUACUGUAUUACUCGAUUUCUUUCCUAGAAUGGGUAUUGUAUAUUAAAUUCAGGAUUUUUUUUAAAUUUAUGAUACUGUAUAUAUAUCAAGAACUCUCUCUUGACUACCAGGAUUAGAACCCCCACCGCCUGGAAUCACCCUGGUCUACGGGGUGUUGUAACCACUACACCAUUGAUCAGUGGGGGUUCAAAUCCUGGUAGGUUUAAAGAGAAUUUUUAGUGAUUUAUGGCUCGCAUGUUCAUGCAGUCUUUGUCUCACACACACAUUAUACUGUAUA
rnacentral:misc_RNA from 1 species